CAGCCGCCGCGGUAAUACGUAGGCCCCGAGCGUUGUCCGGAUUUAUUGGGCGUAAAGGGAGCGCAGGCGGUUUAGUAAGUCUGAAGUUAAAGGCAUUGGCUCAACCAAUGUAUGCUUUGGAAACUGUUAGACUUGAGUGCAGAAGGGGAGAGUGGAAUUCCAUGUGUAGCGGUGAAGUGCGUAGAUAUAUGGAGGAACACCGGUGGCGAAAGCGGCUCUCUGGCUUGUAACUGACGCUGAGGCUCGAAAGCGUGGGGCGCAAACAGGAUUAGAUACCCCAGUAGUCCCUGUCUCUUAUACA
rnacentral:rRNA from 1 species